UGACCUCGGAUCAGGUAGGGAUACCCGCUGAACUUAAGCAUAUCAAU
rnacentral:rRNA from 12 species